rnacentral:rRNA from 1 species
CCUACGGGAGGCAGCAGUGGGGAAUUUUGGACAAUGGGCGCAAGCCUGAUCGAGCUAUUCCGCGUGUGGGAUGACGGCCCUCGGGUUGUAAACCACUUUAGUAGAGAACGAAAAGCAGCAAUCGCAAAAAUCGCCCUGCUGACGGUACUCUAAGAAUAAGCACCGGCUAACUACGUGCCAGCAGCCGCGGUAAUACGUAGGUUGCGAGCGUUAAACGGAAUUACUGGGCGUAAAGGGUGUGCAGGCGGCUGUGUAAGACAGAUGUGAAAUCCCCGGGCUUAACCUGGGAAUCGCAUAUGUGACUGCAGGGCUAGAGUGCGGCAGAGGGAGGUGGAAUUCCACGUGUAGCAGUGAAAUGCGUAGAUAUGUGGAAGAACACCGAUGGCGAAGGCAGCCGCCUGGGACGUAACUGACGCUCAUACACGAAAGCGUGGGGAGCAAACAGGAUUAGAUACCCUUGUAGUC